GAUGAACGCUGGCGGCGUGCCUAAUACAUGCAAGUCGAGCGCAGGAAGGAGGAGCUUGCUCUUUUGGGGUGAGUGGCGGACGGGUGAGUAACACGUAGGUAACCUGCCUGUAAGCGUGGGAUAACUAUUGGAAACCAGAGCUAAUACCGGAUAAUAGUAUGAAUUGCAUGGUUCCUACGUAAAAGGUGCAAUUGCUGCACUUCCAGAAGGACCUCCAUUGGAUUAGGUAGUUGGGUAGGGAAAGGCCUACCAAGGCAACGAUUGAUAGCCGGCCCGAGAGGGUGACCGGCCACACUGGAACUGAGACACGGUCCAGACUCCUACGGAAGGCAGCAGUGGGGAAUCUUGGACAAUGGGCGAAAGCCUGACGGAGCAAGGCCGCGUGAGGGAGGAAGGUCUUCGGAUCGUAAAACUCUUUUAGUAGGGAGGAAGAGAUGUAGAGUGAAAUGUUCACAUUUUGACGGUACCUAAACAGAAAGCCACGGCUAACUACGUG
rnacentral:rRNA from 1 species